CGGCCGCGUCGACAAACCAGAGGUUUUACUUCUGGGGUCGUGGGACAAUCACCAGCGAACCUUAAAGCUAGACAAAGCAGUUGAAAGCUGCACCAGAGAAGGUGAAAGCCCUGUAGGUAGCAAUGUAUGAGGACGAGGGGUAUCCUGAGUAGCGCGGGACCGGAGAAAUCCUGCGUGAAUCUGCCAGCACCAUCUGGUAAGGCUAAAUACUAACUAGUGACCGAUAGUGAACCAGUACCGUAAGGGAAAGGUGAAAAGUACUGCGAAUAGCAGAGUGAAAUAGUACGUCGACGCGGCCG
rnacentral:rRNA from 1 species